GACGAACGCUGGCGGCGUGCUUAACACAUGCAAGUCGAACGGAAAGGCCCUGCUUUUGUGGGGUGCUCGAGUGGCGAACGGGUGAGUAACACGUGAGUAACCUGCCCUUGACUUUGGGAUAACUUCAGGAAACUGGGGCUAAUACCGGAUAGGAGCUCCUGCUGCAUGGUGGGGGUUGGAAAGUUUCGGCGGUUGGGGAUGGACUCGCGGCUUAUCAGCUUGUUGGUGGGGUAGUGGCUUACCCAGGCUUUGACGGGUAGCCGGCAUGAGAGGGUGACCGGCCACAUUGGGACUGAGAUACGGCCCAGACUCCUACGGGAGGCAGCAGUGGGGAAUAUUGCACAAUGGGCGGAAGCCUGAUGCAACAGCGCCGCGUGCGGGAUGACGGCCUUCGGGUUGUAAACCGCUUUCGCCUGUGACGAAGCGUGAGUGACGGUAAUGGGUAAAGAAGCACCGGCUAACUACGUG
rnacentral:rRNA from 1 species